ACGCACGCUGGCGGCGUGCUUAACACAUGCAAGUCGAACGGAAAGGCCCCUUUGGGGGUACUCGAGUGGCGACCGGGUGAGUAACACGUGAGUAACCUGCCCUUGACUUCGGGAUAACUUCAGGAAACUGGGGCUAAUACCGGAUAGGAAUCCUUGCUGCAUGGUGGGGGUUGGAAAGCUUCGGCGGUUUUGGAUGGACUCGCGGCUUAUCAGCUUGUUGGUGGGGUAGUGGCUUACCAAGGCUUUGACGGGUAGCCGGCCUGAGAGGGCGACCGGCCACAUUGGGACUGAGAUACGGCCCAGACUCCUACGGGAGGCAGCAGUGGGGAAUAUUGCACAAUGGGCGGAAGCCUGAUGCAGCAACGCCGCGUGCGGGAUGACGGCCUUCGGGUUGUAAACCGCUUUCAGCAGGGGCGAAGCUUGUGGUGACGGUACCUGCAGAAGAAGCACCGGCUAACUACGUG
rnacentral:rRNA from 1 species